AUCACCUGGCACCCCGACUGGGUACCUCCGUUGAAGGAUGCUACUAGUGCUUCCUGAUGACUCCAAUCACUGCAGCAGACACCAUAACCACCAUAAACUCCUUCAAACAGCAAGGCAGGAACAAGCUCUUACAAGAGCUUAGCAGUGAUUUAGCAAGGGAGUAUGACAAGCAUAGCAAUCCCUUGUAGCAGAUUCCCGCAAUAAGAGUCAGAACUCAGAUUGAGAAUGAAGUAGAGCUAACUAAAACUUUAUUUUACUUCGGACUAGCACAUAUGGUCAUUACAUUAACAUUGCUGUGAAAACUCAAUAAAAU